CCUACGGGGGGCUGCAGUGGGGAAUAUUGCGCAAUGGGCGAAAGUCUGACGCAGCGACGCCGCGUGAGGGAUGAAGGUCUUCGGAUCGUAAACCUCUGUCAGCAGGGAAGAACGGUCACUGUGCUAACCAGCAGUGCAUUGACGGUACCUGCACAGGAAGCACCGGCUAACUCCGUGCCAGCAGCCGCGGUAAUACGGAGGGUGCAAGCGUUAAUCGGAAUUACUGGGCGUAAAGCGCUCGUAGGCGGUAUGUCAAGUCAAGUGUGAAAUCCCCGCGCUCAACGUGGGAGCUGCCUUUGAAACUGGGAAACUGGAGUGUGUGAGAGGAUAGUGGAAUUCCAGGUGUAGGAGUGAAAUCCGUAGAUAUCUGGAGGAACAUCAGUGGCGAAGGCGACUAUCUGGCACAUAACUGACGCUGAGGAGCGAAAGCGUGGGUAGCAAACAGGAUUAGAUACCCUUGUAGUC
rnacentral:rRNA from 1 species